GUCUACGGCCAUACCACCCUGAGCGUGCCUGAUCUCGUCUGAUCUCGGAAGCUAAGCAGGGUCGGGCCUGGUUAGUACUUGGAUGGGAGACCACCUGGGAAUACCGGGUGGUGUAGGCU